GGAUUAUUAUCACAUUACACGCCAAACGACCUUAGUUGCCUAGAUAAGUAGUACACUAAUGUAUGAAACAACAUCAGAUAAUGACAGAAGGACAAAAAAUGUGGAAAGAAAUAAUUCCCAAACAAACUUGAUCAGGGUUCCUUUGCUUCCAAGUUUCAUAAAAAGCUUAUGCACAGAUUAUGAUGAUCCUGCAGAAUGAUUGUUCAAUUAUGGAUACAAGGCUUUUUAUGUUUGCAGUCAUGAUCCCUGUUUGAAGCACAUUUUGCAACAAUUGGAUCUUUCUAUUUUUCAGAAAGAAAACUCAGAGAUUUCCGUGUGGACUUUCCAAGCCUGACUGAAUCCAACAUGAACCAAAAUGACCUCGGUUUUUGCAGUGAUUUAUUCCGCCAUGCUGCCUAAAGGAUGUCCCAAGCCUUUGGACUAACUGGAGCAGACUUUCUAAAGUGACUGAGAGACUUUCAAAGCGGAGUUACGGAAAUUUACUGUGCACACCUUUACUUUAUUCCGGCUCCUGGGAAUGUGUAUCUGUCUGCGUGGAGUUUUCAACAGCCAUGGAUGAAUCAAUCAUCCACAGACUGCAGUACUAUAGCUUCCUAUAGAGUCCCACAGCCUCUGAAAUGUCUGCUUCCUCGCACUCAGCACCUGGUUGAGCAUUCAGACCCGGGCUGAGACCCAAACGGGUGCCCAGAAUUUUUUUCUGACACCCUAUCUGCCAGGAACAGUGGACGACAAGCCCUGGAAAGUUUUACUUCUUUAAUGCUGACUGUAUUCAAGUCCAACUAGGACAAUGGCAGCUUGUGUAUAAGACAGAGUAGGUAUAGUUCAUUCAGAAGCAAUAGGGCAACUUGACAAGUUGGAAGAUUGUCAGAUGGAACCUUGAUAAGCAACGACAACGCUCAGGGCAACCAUAUGAAACAUUUAUAGGAUAAGUGAAACUGUAAUAAAAUAUAAUACUCAAAAAAAUAUUCAGAACAUUUUUAUAAACCUCAUUACAGUCAAAAGUUUAAGAUGUUUAAAGGAAGUGGUAUGAGGCAUAAUUUUGAGCAGAAAGUUUUAGGAGGAAAAAAA